UACGUAGGGUGCAAGCGUUAAUCGGAAUUACUGGGCGUAAAGCGUGCGCAGGCGGUUUUGUAAGUCUGUCGUGAAAUCCCCGGGCUCAACCUGGGAAUUGCGAUGGAGACUGCAAGGCUAGAAUCUGGCAGAGGGGGUAGAAUUCCACGUGUAGCAGUGAAUGCGUAGAGAUGUGGAGGAACACCGAUGGCGAAGGCAGCCCCUGGUCAAGAUUGACGCUCAU
rnacentral:rRNA from 1 species